rnacentral:tRNA from 1 species
AUUUAGAUAGAUUAAAUUAAAUCAUAUCACUGAAGAUGAUAUUAUAGGGAAACCUUCUGAAU